rnacentral:rRNA from 1 species
CUCCUUUGACGUUAGCGGCGGACGGGUGAGUAACACGUGGGUAACCUACCUAUAAGACUUGGAUAACUUCGGGAAACCGGAGCUAAUACCGGAUAAUAUUUCGAACCGCAUGGUUCGAUAGUGAAAGAUGGUUUUGCUAUCACUUAUAGAUGGACCCGCGCCGUAUUAGCUAGUUGGUAAGGUAACGGCUUACCAAGGCGACGAUACGUAGCCGACCUGAGAGGGUGAUCGGCCACACUGGAACUUAUACACGGUCCAGACUCCUACGGGAGGCAGCAGUU